UAUCCUCUUUCUUCUUCUCUGCUUGACUUUCUUCUCUGUGUGCCCGCCGCCGCCGCAGCCAUCUCUGGCCGCCGUGGCUACCUCCGUCGUGGGGAUGCAGACCAGCUUUUCCACGCCCCAACGCCGCCCCUCCCAACAUCACCGACCUCCCCACACAUCUCGAACUCGGACUCGGAGAGGAGUCCAUGUUGCGUGUGUCUUGGAGUCAUGUCCGAGGAGGAGAUGUUCAGGAGCACGUGGCCGUUUGGUGCAUGGAAAUUGAUGCUAUAAGAAGGAACCCCUCGGCCACGAUUAGCUCGCAUCGCAUGUUUCUUGCCCAACACAUCGCCGUGCUGCAAGUUUCAUACAUCGCCGUUCUUGUACACCGUUGAUUUCUCGGGGAUCCGUCUGCAUCGCCGUUCUUGUACACCAUUGAUUUCGACGGAGAUCCGUCUGCAUUGCACGUGCUCCAUCGCCUGCCAGAAUUUCGCCUGGCCUGAGGGAAACAAUGGCUCGACGUCGCCGGGUCGCAGCACAAAAUUGACUGGUCCCAGCAAAAAAAAAGAACAAUUACAGCAAAAGAAAAUCGCCAUCGCGGUCACAGAAAGUGGAUGACAACACUGAAUUGACCAUUGUUGAGGAUUUUGAUAACCGACCUUCAAAAAAAAAACGAAAUGUAUGGAAUCCAGUGUUUUGGAGCAAUCACCUACGUCACCAAUCAUCUCAACAUUACCUUCACUCUCAAAAAGUUUUGUAUCGAUGGUUCUUGAGUCAGAUAAUCAAACAAAUAGUGAUCCAUUGCCAGCACCUCCAUCACCAACUAGCUUACCAUUAUCUCUGAAUGCUGAAUUGCCCCUGAAUGAAGGAAAUAUUUCACUAGAUGAUGAUAAGCAAGCAGAGAAUGCUGAAUUGCCCUUGAAUGAAGCAAAUAUUUCAUUACAUGAUGAUAAUCAAACAGAGAAUUCUGAAUUGCCCCCGAAUCAAGGAAAUAUUUCAUUAGAUGAUGACAAGAAAAUAGAGGAACAUGAAACAUAUGACUAUCUCCCACAAGAUUAUACAUUGACAGACCGUGAUGUAUGUGCUCAUAUAGCAAUAGAAACAUCUUUUGAAAAACAAUUGCUGGUGAAGAUAGAUGAAAUAUCUGUGAAAUAACAUCAACUGAAUGAAAAAGAGUGGCUAAAUGAUGAUGAAAUCAGCGCAUAUAUAUGUUGUAUAAAGGACCAAGUACAGGUCCAUAACGAUAGUGAAGUAUAUUUUGGGAAUCCUUUGUUACCGCACUGUUAAAACGGGAUGGCAAGCUUGGAAUACAUAAAGAUGGUACCUUUAUGACAGAGAUUGUCAAAAACUAUGUGAAGCAUGACAUGGUACAAGGGCUACAAUAUCAUUUGGACAUUCUGAAAAGUGAAAAUUUAAUUAGUCCUAAUUGGAAAGACUUUGAUGUUAGUAAAUGGAAGAUAGUAGAACAACUACAGCAGCCAAUUCAAAAAGAUAGUUCAUCUUGUGGUCUAUUUAUGCUUAAAUUCAUGGAAUAUUAGACUGGAUAUGCACUAUCCUAUCCAAUUACACAGGAAAGUAUGGGUACAGAGCUCCAACCCAUAUACAAUUAGGCUGACUCUUAAAAAACUACAAACAAUUCUAAAGGAUGAUUCUCCCACGGAUCCUGAUUGUUUCAAUAUGGUCGUGUGCAAAUUUAUGUUUGAUGACAUCCAAACGGCCAAAAAGAAAAAGGGAUUGAUAUCAAAACAUUAUCUAGACAUGCAAUUUUGGAUGAUUACUGAUUUUGGACGACAUCCAAACUUCUGAAAAGAGUUAGAUGUGGAACAACUAGCAUAUUCUGUUUGUAGUUGGCCCGGUUUCAACUAUAAUAUUUCAACAUGCAAAUCUGUAAGAGCAUUUCUCAGUUACUUUCAACACGACAUUUUUUUACAUCUAAUAUCUAGGAUAUUACAGAUUCAUAUUCCAGUACAUUCCAAUGGUGAUUUCAUUCUCUUCAUAUUGGACAAAGAUACACAUACUGUCCAUAUUUUGGAUCCUACGCCUAUCGAUCCUAUCUACCAAUACAACCCACACGCAAAAUAUUUGCACAGACUUAUGGAUUGCAGAAUAUUUACCGAAAGCAAUGUCAAAGGCAUGCCCUGGGUCUAGAUGGAAUGAGAAUAUUCUCCUAUGGCGGCAUAAAAUCGUAGAUGAUAUUCCCGUUUACAACGGGUAACAUUUUUCAAGAUAUAAAAACUAUACACUAAGUAUUUGGUUUACUGAAUAUGUAUAAUAUAUGUUCUCAACAUCAACUAACGAUAUAUGUAUGUAUUGUAUCAGGGAACUGUCUGGUUAUCUUAUUACCCUCUACAUGUCUACAUGGGAAGAUGGAAAACUGCAUUUACCAUUUCUAAAGGAUGGAUACGAACUCAGGGAACAAAUUUUGGGACAUCUUCUAACAUUCGAGGACAAUGAAUCUGAAGAUGGCAUGCCUGCCGGUGUCCUGGACUUCAUCAAUUGUAUCAGGAUGAAGAAGCUAUCAACUAUAUGUCCAACUGCUGCUCCUAAAUUAUCUCGACAAUCCUAGAUGCUGUAACGCACCAGCUUGAUCCUAAAGUUUAGUAUGUUCAGCUUAGGGAACUACAUAGGUUUAGCCAAUAGUACCAGCUCAAUCAUAAAGUUUAGUUUGUUCAGCUUAGGGAACUACAUAGGUUUAGACAAUAGUAAUGCUUUGCUUUCUGUACAAGAUCUUAGUUAAAAGAAUAUAUUGCUUCUGAUGCUUACAUGGCAUAACCAAAAAUCAGUUUAACAUUGGCAA